UACUUUAUCCUCUUUUUUUUCUUCCCUAAUCUCUGUUGGUGGUUUUUCUUGAAAGCUACAGCCUUUCCGGGAGUGGAAGCUGCCAUUCCAGUGUCGAUGGCUUCCUGUGCUACCUCCACUUCGUUGGCUUAGGCCAUCAUAACCUCGGGAAGAGCCAUGCCAACCAGAUAGAUUCCCUGUGGUUCCAGAAUAUGUUCCCUUAGAGACACCAGAGUCCACAGAAUCAUGGCGGAAUAAAGAGGGUUGGUGCCAAGAAUCUAAAAUAGCAAGGAAAAGUAAGGUAUUAGUUGUCUAUUUCCUAUAAAUUCAGAAAUAACUCGGCCAGAUGCUUCCUGCUUUGGUCAAAGUUACUUUCAAAAGAACUUCAGGAAACCUUUAAAACAAGAAGUCCACACAAAGAAACCAUUAAAUGCACCUUUUCCACAUGGUGCUGGAGAUCAACUCAAAGUCCCGCUGUGUUAAGUGCACACACCGUGAGCACAAUUCCCAGCCCUUCCAAACAGUUCUCUGACUGAAAAGAUGAUCCAUAACAACGUGUUAGGUGCAGAAACCAGGAGAAUGAAGGCUAAGGAAUCUGAAGAACACUGGACAAAUGAGACAACUGAAGAAAAAGGACAAAUCAUCUAUCCCAGGAAACAGAGUAAAAUGGCCUAUUGGUGUAUCAUCUAUAAAAUUUCGUAAGACUUCCUAAA